GACGAACGCUGGCGGCGUGCUUAACACAUGCAAGUCGAACGGAAAGGCCCUGCUUUUGUGGGGUGCUCGAGUGGCGAACGGGUGAGUAACACGUGAGUAACCUGCCCUUGACUUUGGGAUAACUUCAGGAAACUGGGGCUAAUACCGGAUAGGAGCUCCUGCUGCAUGGUGGGGGUUGGAAAGUUUCGGCGGUUGGGGAUGGACUCGCGGCUUAUCAGCUUGUUGGUGGGGUAGUGGCUUACCAAGGCUUUGACGGGUAGCCGGCCUGAGAGGGUGACCGGCCACAUUGGGACUGAGAUACGGCCCAGACUCCUACGGGAGGCAGCAGUGGGGAAUAUUGCACAAUGGGCGGAAGCGUGAUGCAGCAACGCCGCGUGCGGGAUGACGGCCUUCGGGUUGUAAACCGCUUUAGCCUGUGACGAAGCGUGAGUGACGGUAAUGGGUAAAGAAGCACCGGCUAACUACGUG
rnacentral:rRNA from 1 species